rnacentral:lncRNA from 1 species
CCCAAAAUAAAUACCCAAAUAAAAAAAUUCAAAAUUUCCUUGCUUUUCAACGUUUUUUUUCUUCAAAUAAAGUGAAGCUUGUUGUGGUGGUUUUUCAGAUCCGAAUUUGUUUUGUUGUUGUGAUGUUCCAGAUCUCAACUUUUAGGAAGAAAAGAUUGGUGAAGAUGAAUGAUUUGUUUGAAGAACACAUAAAUGAACGAAGAUGAAUAGUUGGGUUUCACAAUUAGAUUCCUUUCUCUUUAUUUUGAUUCAAGAAUAUUUUUGAAGGAAAAAAUAAAUUGAGAUUAAAUUUUCAUAGGGUGACGAUAAUAAACUAAGUUGUUAAGGUUAGAGAUGAUGCGAAAAAAAUAGAGUGUGGAUAGACUAUAAUAACAAUGGUGGUACUACUCAAUCUAAUGGAUAAAAAAAGACUUUCCCAUGGUAGAAAAGAAGUAUCCUUUCCCAGAUUAAAUAGCACCUAAGAAUAUAUAUUUAUUAAUUAACUAGAACAAUAUCACACCACAAAGCUUCAUGUUAAUUACUCAAAGCAAGAAUGAAAUACCAAGGCAGUGGGAUCAAAGAUCACAUAAGCAAAAGUACAAACAAGACAGAGUCAAAUAACAAUAAGUCAUAAAAUGUAGUAAUUGAUUCAAGACGAUGGAACAACAGAAACACUAGCCACUAUUCUUUCCAUUUACAAAAGUGAACAAUUGUGUCUGUCCCUUACAAGAAACUACAAACAAAAUAACAAAAUUCACUCAUUUUAACACCUAGAAAUCUAACAAAAA